GAGCCCAAAGACAGACAAAGUCAAAAAGAAUAAAGAAGCUGGGCAUGAAUGCAUAAAAACAUAAACACAAGAUUCCUUCUUUUUUUUCAAAAAAAAAACAUCAAGAAGAAAUGAUAAUACUUUAUUUUUUAAGAAAGACAGUUUUAUUAAUACGAAUGAAAUAAGUGAAGCCCAAGUACACCGAGUAUAUAAAGAAGUGAUAAUACGUAGAUAAGAAUCUGCUGCGUCCAUCCUUAUAUGGUGGCAAGGCAUCAUACAGGCAGCAUUACCUCUAGGUUCAAGUGUUUCUUUUGCCAAGUUUAGAUACUCACGCAUAUAAUACAAAUUAAAACAAAGGAAACUCUUAUCUGAAAGGAAGAUAAAAAAAACAUCUUAUAAUAAGCCAAGUUAAUCCAAAACUCAAUAUCCAAAAGAUUUUGAGAGACAACAUACUGUUUUCUCAACAAAUGUUGAAGCGGUACAGAGAAGUGGUUCCACAAACAUAAAUAAUGUCGAUUCUUGCAUACAAAGUGAAUGGCAUCAAUGAUAAAUUUAUAAAAUGUGUUAAGUAGAACUGAAUUAAGCUUGGAAGAGCAAAUUCCUUUUUUCAAUAACUAAAUCAUGAUUAGCAAGCUGAAAGCGGAAAUACAGUUUAUCCAAUGUGGGUAUGUCAUAAAAUCAAAAACUUCAAUACAAGUUAUUUGUAAAGGAAAACCUCCUAGUGGUCAGGGUUCAAUUUGUCUUUCCUAAAACCAGCCACAACAUGUCACUUCAUGAAUCGAUUCUCAUGAAAAAAUUAGUGAGAGAAUUAGAAAAUAUGUAAAAUAACAGGGCAUCUGGUUGGUUAGGAAGAAUUUAUAACUUAAUGACUCAUAAGAAAGUCAGGUGCUACGAGCUAAAGUUUAGAUAGAUUUUAAUUUCUGUCCUGUUUUCUUUCUUUUUAUUUUAUCGGUAAUUUCUGUCCUGUUUUCUUAGAAUAGAGAAGUCGCUAAUUGGCUGAAUAUACGAACUAGAAAAGUGGAACUCGAUUCCACCCCAAACAUAGUCCAUUACAAAAUGAAUAAACAAUUGGUCAAGGGCGAAGGAAAGCCGAGCGGGGGAAAAGCAGAACAACCGUACCAAGGUGUGUGUAGACAGAGUAUAUUUGUAUGAGCCCCAAGGACGAGCUUAUCACCGUUUUCCACUUGAUCGGUGCAACCCUUCACAUUAUCGAGCGAACCACCAUAGACCUUAAUCCCAGGUACCAGCUGCUUUAUCUUAUCAUUUCCACCAGCGUGAUCCCUAUUAGAAUACCGGCGUUAAAUUGAAAACUAAAAACUAUAACAAAGGCAACGAAUAUUCAGCGGUCUAUAUUUGGCAAAGAUAGAAAGCGUAAAUCAGACUGAACAAAAUCGUGAUGGAAUAUCCGGGUGUAUCCAGGGGGUGAGUGUUUCUGUGACACCUGUUCUCUAAGGGGGAGAAGAGUGGUGAAUCUGUGAUACCAGUGAUGGUGGGUGGUGAGAACGAGCUUGAGAAGGACGCCAUGUUGUUUAGCAGCUUCUACAACCUUCUCGGCCUCCACAGGAUCCACUGCUGCGGCUUCUUUCGAGCUCUCAUCGACGAUGCUGCAAGUGCAAACCCUAAGUCCAACAACACGAGGCUAAAGAGGAAGUAAAAAAUAUUGUGGAGAAUCGGAGAUCUAUCAUCGUUCGUUUUAAUUCGGCAGCAACGUUUAAUGAACCAUCAAAACAAAAAUA